rnacentral:rRNA from 1 species
UAGCGAGGGGGCGAGCGUUGUUCGGAAUUAUUGGGCGUAAAGAGCUCGUAGGCGGUUUGUCGCGUCUGCCGUGAAAGUCCGGGGCUCAACUCCGGAUCUGCGGUGGGUACGGGCAGACUAGAGGUGAUGUAGGGGAGACUGGAAUUCCUGGUGUAGCGGUGAAAUGCGCAGAUAUCAGGAGGAACACCGAUGGCGAAGGCAGGUCUCUGGGCAUUAACUGACGCUGAGGAGCGAAAGCAUGGGGAGCGAACAGG